rnacentral:rRNA from 1 species
GAUGAACGCUGGCGGCGUGCCUAAUACAUGCAAGUCGAACGCAUUAUCUUCACCGAGUGCUUGCACUCACCGAAGAUAAUGAGUGGCGAACGGGUGAGUAACACGUGGGUAACCUGCCCAAAAGAGGGGGAUAACACUUGGAAACAGGUGCUAAUACCGCAUAAUUUGUUAAACCGCAUGGUUUGAUAAUGAAAGACGGCGUAAGCUGUCACUUUUGGAUGGACCCGCGGCGUAUUAGCUAGUUGGUGAGGUAAAGGCCCACCAAGGCAAUGAUACGUAGCCGACCUGAGAGGGUGAUCGGCCACAUUGGGACUGAGACACGGCCCAAACUCCUACGGGAGGCAGCAGUAGGGAAUCUUCCACAAUGGACGAAAGUCUGAUGGAGCAACGCCGCGUGAGUGAAGAAGGUUUUCGGAUCGUAAAGCUCUGUUGUUAGAGAAGAAUGUAGGUAAGAGUAACUGUUUACCUAGUGACGGUAUCUAACCAGAAAGCCACGGCUAACUACGUGCCAGCAGCCGCGGUAAUACGUAGGUGGCAAGCGUUAUCCGGAUUUAUUGGGCGUAAAGCGAACGCAGGCGGUUUUUUAAGUCUGAUGUGAAAGCCUUCGGCUCAACCGAAGGAAACGCAUUGGAAACUGGAUAACUUGAGUGCAGAAGAGGAGAGUGGAACACCAUGUGUAGCGGUGAAAUGCGUAGAUAUAUGGUAGAACACCAGUGGCGAAAGCGGCUCUCUGGUCUGUAACUGACGCUGAGGUUCAAAAGCAUGGGUAGCAAACAGGAUUAGAUACCCUGGUAGUCCAUGCCGUAAACGAUGAGUGCUAAGUGUUGGAGGGUUUCCGCCCUUCAGUGCUGCAGCUAACGCAUUAAGCACUCCGCCUGGGGAGUACGACCGCAAGGUUGAAACUCAAAGGAAUUGACGGGGGCCCGCACAAGCGGUGGAGCAUGUGGUUUAAUUCGAAGCAACGCGAAGAACCUUACCAGGUCUUGACAUCUUCUGACAAACCUAGAGAUAGGCCGUUCCCUUCGGGGACAGAAUGACAGGUGGUGCAUGGUUGUCGUCAGCUCGUGUCGUGAGAUGUUGGGUUAAGUCCCGCAACGAGCGCAACCCUUAUUAUUAGUUGCCAGCAUUUAGUUGGGCACUCUAAUGAGACUGCCGGUGACAAACCGGAGGAAGGUGGGGAUGACGUCAAAUCAUCAUGCCCCUUAUGACCUGGGCUACACACGUGCUACAAUGGACGGUACAACGAGUUGCGAGACCGCGAGGUUAAGCUAAUCUCUUAAAGCCGUUCUCAGUUCGGAUUGUAGGCUGCAACUCGCCUACAUGAAGUUGGAAUCGCUAGUAAUCGCGGAUCAGAAUGCCGCGGUGAAUACGUUCCCGGGCCU